GAAUUUUAUAAAUAAAUUAAUUUUUAAAUAUUAAUAUAGAAAUUUUUUAUUUAUUUUAUUCGGAGGAUAAUUAAAUUAAAGUAAAUUUAAUUAAAUAAAAAUCAUUAAUUAAUGAAUAAUUUGAAUGUAAUUUUAUAUAAUAAGAAUAAAUUACCUUAGGGAUAACAGCGUAAUAUUUUUAUUAAGAUCAUAUUUAAAAAAAUGUUUGC
rnacentral:rRNA from 3 species